GUGCUGGCUUCGGCAGCACAUAUACUAAAAUUGGAACGGUACAGAGAUUAGCAUGGCCUCCGCACAAGGAUGAUACACAAAUGCGUGAAGCGUUCCAUAUUUUU
ensembl:snRNA U6 U6 spliceosomal RNA